rnacentral:tRNA from 1 species
AGGGAUAUAGUUCAAAGGUAGAACAACGGUCUCCAAAACCGUCGAUGCGGGUUCAAUUCCUGCUAUCCCUGCCA